AUCCAGCUGCUGAGUCCCAAAUAGGACGAAAUGUACCUUAUCCUGGAU
rnacentral:hammerhead_ribozyme from 1 species